AGAAGACGGUACCUCUAGAAUAAGCCACGGCUAACUACGUGCCAGCAGCCGCGGUAAUACGUAGGUGGCAAGCGUUAUCCGGAAUUACUGGGCGUAAAGAGUGAGCAGGCGGUUAGAUAAGUCUAUGGUUAAAUGCAACAGCUCAACUGUUGUUCGCUAUAGAAACUAUUUAACUAGAGUGCGGGAGAGGUAAGUGGAACUCCAUAUGUAGCGGUGGAAUGCUUAGAUAUAUGGAAGAACACCAGAGGCGAAGGCGGCUUACCAGUCCGUAACUGACGCUCAGUCACGAAAGCGUGGGGAGCAAAUAGGAUUAGAUAUCCUAGUAGUCCACGCCGUAAACGAUGAGAACCUGAUGCAGGAGAUAUUCUGUGUCGAAGCUAACGCGUUAAGUUCUCCGCCUGGGUACUACGUUCGCAAGAAUAAAACUUAAAGGAAUUGACGGGCGCCCGCACAAGCAGUGGAGCAUGGGGUUUAAUUCGUCGAUACACGAAAAACCUUACCAGGGCUUGACAUCCCGCUAAAAGCCUUAGAAAUAAGGAAAUAGUUAUAGCGGUGACAGGUGGUGCAUGGUUGUCGUCAGCUCGUGCCGUGAGGUGUUAGGUUAAGUCCUCAAACGAGCGCAACCCUUGUCUUUAGUUGCCAUUAUUAAUUUAGGAACUCUAGAGAGACUGCCGGCGCAAGCCGGAGGAAGGCGGGGAUGACGUCAAAUCAUCAUGCCCUUUAUGCCCUGGGCCACACCCGUGCUACAAUGGUCGGUACAAAGAGAAGCAACACUGUGAGGUGAAGCAAAUCCCAUAAAGCCGAUCUCAAUUCGGAUUGAAGUCUGCAACUCGACUUCAUGAAGCUGGAAUUGCUAGUAAUCGCAGAUCAGCAACGCUGCGGUGAAUACGUUCUCGGGCGUUGUACACACUGCCCGUCACACCAUGAGAGCCGGUAAUACUCGAAGUCGUUAGCCUAACCGUAAGGAGGGCGGCGCCUAAGGUAGGACUGGUGAUUGGGGUUAAGUCGUAACAAGGUAUCCCUACGAGAACGUGGGGAUG
rnacentral:rRNA from 1 species